GACGAACGCUGGCGGCGUGCUUAACACAUGCAAGUCGAACGGAAAGGCCCUGCUUUUGUGGGGUGCUCGAGUGGCGAACGGGUGAGUAACACGUGAGUAACCUGCCCUUGACUUUGGGAUAACUUCAGGAAACUGGGGCUAAUACCGGAUAGGAGCUCCUGCUGCAUGGUGGGGGUUGGAAAGUUUCGGCGGUUGGGGAUGGACUCGCGGCUUAUCAGCUUGUUGGUGGGGUAGUGGCUUACCAAGGCUUUGACGGGUAGCCGGCCUGAGAGGGUGACCGGCCACAUUGGGACUGAGAGACGGACCAGACUCCUACGGGGGGCAGCAGUGGGGAAUAUUGCACAAUGGGCGGAAGCCUGAUGCAGCAACGCCGCGUGCGGGAUGACGGCCUUCGGGUUGUAAACCGCUUUCGCCUGUGACGAAGCGUGAGUGACGGUAAUGGGUAAAGAAGCACCGGCUAACUACGUG
rnacentral:rRNA from 1 species